UCUGUUAGCAGUUUCACAGUAAAACACAAAUGUUUUCACAAGAAUCACAUUCUCUUUUCACAUACUUCCUGAUUAUUGUCACUAUAACACUAGUGCAUGGAAAUGUCCUUGUGUGAUUGGUUUACUAAGGGCACUUCAGCCUUGAAUAAGUUGUUCUCCCAGCCUAUGCAGUGAAUGCACAUUCAGCAUGCGGUGGAGGUGUGGUAUCUGCUGUCAUAGUAGCAGUAUCUGAGGGAAUUCAUGUGUUGGCACACUACAGUCAACAACCCAAGGAGGAAUACACAGAGAUCACAAGAACAACAGGUAAAAAGGGAAAGUCAGACAACCAGAAGAUCAGAACCAUCCUGAAGAGGAAUGCACCUGUUUACGUAACCGGGCAUACUGUAUUACUAUUAUUGUAUUCAGCCUAGUCCAUCUAAUCUGGUGACCUUAAAUGACCGUUGCUGUACCUACAUGAUGUUUCGGGCAUUUUCAUGCUGGUUUUCACCAAUCAUCCAACAUGGCUACAAUGUCAAGCUGAUUUACCAGCCUAAAACAGAGUGACAGAGCAACAUUGCCCAUCUAAGUGCGGACCAGUUUUUAUUCUCUUAAUUUAGGUUUGGAUUUGGACACCAGUAAGUAAAAAGAAGAGAUACUUAUGUUAGCAAAUAUAAAUAAUUAUUAUGAAAUAUAUUCAUCUAAAUAUUUUCAGUUCAGAAAAUAGCUUAUAACAUAAACGCAAGCUUGUCACCGAAGCUAUGUUUUGAUUAAGUGCAUCAAUAAUUUGAUUUUGUUCAGUAAGUUACAUAGCAGGAUAUUAGCUUGCUAACUGUUAACCAAACAGCUAUAAUCCUACUACUAUCAUAAUGAUAAUUCAUUUUAUUGUUUAUAAAACUGCAAUCAUGCAAAUUCAUAUGCAUUGUUUUAAUCUUUUAAGCUCAUUAAUAAUCGGUGGUUUUCGGAAGCGAGUCUGCUAGCAUGCUAAUAGAUAGCCAGCUGCGCCACCAACUGCUAUUCAGCGCUGAAUAUGAAACGAAACUUAACGAGAAGCGCGACCGACCACGAACAGAUAUACAGAGAUGAAAUCAACAUAAAAUAUUGAUAACAGCAUUUCGUGAGAAAACAUAUAUUGAGUUCCGGCUAUACAGGGAUUUAUAUGCACCAGGAUGGCCGAGUGGUUAAGGCGUUGGACUUAAGAUCCAAUGGACAUAUGUCCGCGUGGGUUCGAACCCCACUCCUGGUAAUGACUUUUGAUUCUCAUAUUUAUCAUAUUAGAAUCGACAAUAACUGCUUACUGCCGUACAGUUCGCGUUAAAUACGAAAAGCGAAACCUGCACGGAGAAAAAAUAAAAUAAAAAUAAAUUCGCACGCGGCUCAGUAGGCCUACUGUCAGUAUUCAAAAAUGUUGAUCCCCUCUCUCUCUCUCUCUAUCUCUGGAUGGACGGAUAGAUGAAGGGAGGAAAAUCGACCGCUGUUGACCAGCAUGGCAUGUCCAUAAAGUGGGACACAGCGGACACACAAUUGCUAGAUAAAAGAACAAAUAGUCAACAAUCAAAACUCGACGUAAUGUUGACUCGAUGUUGAAUGGGUGCUCUGAUACUGCCUCCUAUUGGUAAAUUAAAACUAACUUCUGACAGACUGACAGGCAUAUAGUUAGAUAGAUAGAUAGAUAGAUAGAUAGAUAGAUAGAUAGAUAGAUAGAUAGAUAGAAUAUGCGUUAAACAAAAGUACAAUAUUAAAUGACCUUCAAACAAGGAUGCAGUUCAGCUAAAUAUUUAAUUUUCCAUAAAAACAAAAUACAAGUUACAUGUAAUUUUCAAGAAUAAAUACUUCCAUAAUGAUUAUUUUAAUUGAUUUGCAAUGUACACUUCAAAGUAUGUAAAUAUAAUAUUAAUAUGAUCAUAUUUACAAUAGCAUAAGGUCUAUAUGUAUAGGCUAGUCUCUAAGAGGUCAUUGGCAUGAAAAAUAUUCUGAAUUAAGAUUCAAAACAAUUUCCUGCAUGUACAUAUUGCUUCUAAAAUACAUACUUUUGUUCUUUUUUAACAGGUUGCUGGUGGAGGCAUGGUUGUAUGUAAUAUGGUGGUGUGUUUUUAUAGAUAUAAGUUGCUUAAGCUAAUAAAUCAGACUGCAUUGUGUUUGUGUUGUGUGUGCAUAUCAUAAAAUAAAAUAACAUAAUA